UGGAAGUAAAAGUCGUAACAAGGUUUCCGUAGGUGAACCUGCGGAAGGAUCAUUACUGAUUUGCUUAAUUGCACCACAUGUGUUUUUUAUUGAACAAAUUUCUUUGGUGGCGGGAGCAAUCCUACCGCCAGAGGUUAUAACUAAACCAAACUUUUUAUUUACAGUCAAACUUGAUUUAUUAUUACAAUAGUCAAAACUUUCAACAACGGAUCUCUUGGUUCUCGCAUCGAUGAAGAACGCAGCGAAAUGCGAUACGUAAUAUGAAUUGCAGAUAUUCGUGAAUCAUCGAAUCUUUGAACGCACAUUGCGCCCUUUGGUAUUCCAAAGGGCAUGCCUGUUUGAGCGUCAUUUCUCCCUCAAACCCCCGGGUUUGGUGUUGAGCAAUACGCUAGGUUUGUUUGAAAGAAUUUAACGUGGAAACUUAUUUUAAGCGACUUAGGUUUAUCCAAAACGCUUAUUUUGCUAGUGGCCACCACAAUUUAUUUCAUAACUUUGACCUCAAAUCAGGUAGGACUACCCGCUGAACUUAAGCAUAUCAAUAAGCGGAGG
rnacentral:misc_RNA from 1 species